UCCUGGUUAGCUCAGUGGGUAGAGCUCUCCUUUGAAAAUAGAGAGGUCCCUGGUUCGAUUGUAGAACCAGGCG
rnacentral:tRNA from 1 species